AAGAGCCGGAUGAGGGAAAUCCUCACGUCCGGUUCUGUGAGGGGGCUCAUGGCAACCUUGGGGCUAAUACCUCAACAAAAGGUAGGCUAUGAGCUCUACUCGAC
rnacentral:ncRNA from 2 species